CGAAAGCCUGACGGAGCAACGCCGCGUGUGGGAAGAAGGCUCUUGGGCUGUCAACCACUUUUCUCAGGGAAGAAGUCCUGACGGUACCUGAGGAAUCAGCCUCGGCUAACUCCGUGCCAGCAGCCGCGGUAAUACGGAGGAGGCAAGCGUUAUCCGGAAUCAUUGGGCGUAAAGCGUUCGUAGGCGGCUGUUCAAGUCUGCUGUCAAAGACCGAGGCUCAACCUCGGGUCGGCAGUGGAAACUGGAUAGCUAGAGGUCGGUAGGGGCAAAGGGAAUUCCCAGUGUAGCGGUGAAAUGCGUAGAUAUUGGGAAGAACACCGGUGGCGAAAGCGCUUUGCUGGACCGAACCUGACGCUGAGGGACGAAAGCUAGGGGAGCG
rnacentral:rRNA from 1 species